rnacentral:rRNA from 1 species
GAUGAACGCUGGCGGCGUGCUUAACACAUGCAAGUCGAACGAUGAAGCCCAGCUUGCUGGGUGGAUUAGUGGCGAACGGGUGAGUAACACGUGAGUAACCUGCCCUUUACUCUGGGAUAAGCCUGGGAAACUGGGUCUAAUACUGCAUAUGCCUUCUCAUCGCAUGGUGGGGGGUGGAACGCUGUAUUGGUCUUCGAUGGACUCGCGGCAUAUCAGCUUUUUGGUGAGGUAAUGGCUCACCAAGGCGACGACGGAUAGCCGACAUGAGAGGGUGACCGGCCUGGCUGCUGCAUAGACAGGGCUCAGUCCCGUAGGGGGGGCAGCAGUGGAGGAUAUUGCAGAAUGGAUGGAAGACGCCGGAAGCGACGACGAAAGAGGGAUGGCGGACUUCGGGUUGUAAACCUCUUUCGGUAGGGAAGAAGCGAGAGUGACGGUACAUGCAGAAAAAGCGGGGGCUAACUACGUG